rnacentral:rRNA from 1 species
GACGAACGCUGGCGGCGUGCUUAACACAUGCAAGUCGAACGGAAAGAGAUGAAAGAGCUUGCUCUUUUAUUAAUUUCAGUGGCAAACGGGUGAGUAACACGUAAACAACCUGCCUUAAGGAUGGGGAUAACAGACGGAAACGACUGCUAAUACCGAAUACGUUCUAAGCAUCGCAUGAUGCAUAGAAGAAAGGGUGGCCUCUACAAGAAAGCUAUCGCCUUAAGAGGGGUUUGCGACUGAUUAGGUAGUUGGUGAGGUAACGGCUCACCAAGCCGACGAUCAGUAGCCGGUCUGAGAGGAUGAACGGCCACACUGGAACUGAGACACGGUCCAGACUCCUACGGGAGGCAGCAGUGGGGAAUCUUCCGCAAUGGACGAAAGUCUGACGGAGCAACGCCGCGUGAACGAAGAAGGUCUUCGGAUUGUAAAGUUCUGUGAUUCGGGACGAAAGGGUUUGUGGUGAAUAAUCAUAGACAUUGACGGUACCGAAAAAGCAAGCCACGGC